CCUACGGGAGGCAGCAGUGGGGAAUAUUGCACAAUGGGCGCAAGCCUGAUGCAGCCAUGCCGCGUGUGUGAAGAAGGCCUUCGGGUUGUAAAGCACUUUCAGCGGGGAGGAAGGCGUUAAGGUUAAUAACCUUGGCGAUUGACGUUACCCGCAGAAGAAGCACCGGCUAACUCCGUGCCAGCAGCCGCGGUAAUACGGAGGGUGCAAGCGUUAAUCGGAAUUACUGGGCGUAAAGCGCACGCAGGCGGUCUGUCAAGUCGGAUGUGAAAUCCCCGGGCUCAACCUGGGAACUGCAUUCGAAACUGGCAGGCUAGAGUCUUGUAGAGGGGGGUAGAAUUCCAGGUGUAGCGGUGAAAUGCGUAGAGAUCCGGAGGAAUACCGGUGGCGAAGGCGGCCCCCUGGACAAAGACUGACGCUCAGGUGCGAAAGCGUGGGGAGCAAACAGGAUUAGAUACCCUAGUAGUC
rnacentral:rRNA from 1 species